CUCACUCGUAACGGAGGGAAUCCACGUAUUGAGCCAGUGUUAUUGGUGGCCCGUGUAACAAAACGAAGGGCUGUUUGCCGAGGCAUUCCAUCUGCUCUGCCAAUCACACCUGUGAGUGCGAGGUCAAUUUUCUCUCCACGAUAGACUUGUUUUGGUGUGUAAGUACCGCCCAGGUUGCACUCGGUGACCUUUGCAACAAAUCCAAUAAUUGCGGCAUCGGAGUGGGGUGCAAGUCUGGAACGUGUAGCUGUAUGCCAUGGCACGGAGCGUGGAUAGAGGAUGAAAAGUGGGCGGGGUUACCGCAGUCCAAGUACACACAAUGCCAGAACAAGAACUAUACUCUGAACGAAUGUAAUGGAGUAACAUUUGUGCCUCCCAUUGGGUAAAAUCAACAGAUAGUGUGCCAUUGUGUGCCUUCGUUUCCCACAUUUUUUUUUGGUAAAUUUCGCAAAUUAUGGUCAGUAUUUUUAUGGAUACAAUACAAUC